rnacentral:rRNA from 1 species
AGUCGACGAGAGGACAUGGGAAGCUUGCUUCCUAUGAAAUCGAGUGGCAAACGGGUGAGUAACGCGUAAACAACCUGCCCUUCGGAUGGGGAUAACAGCCGGAAACGGCUGCUAAUACCGAAUACGAUCUUUUCGUCGCAUGACGGAAAGAAGAAAGGAUGGCCUCUAUACAAAGCUAUCGCCGAAGGAGGGGUUUGCGUCUGAUUAGCUGGUUGGAGGGGUAACGGCCCAACAAGGCGAUGAUCAGUAGCCGGUCUGAGAGGAUGAACGGCCACAUUGGGACUGAGACACGGCCCAGACUCCUACGGGAGGCAGCAGCGGGGAAUCUUCCGCAAUGGACGAAAGUCUGACGGAGCAACGCCGCGUGAGUGAAGAAGGUCUUCGGAUUGUAAAGCUCUGUUAUACGGGACGAAAAAGACGGAUGCCAACAGUAUCCGUCCGUGACGGUACCGUAAGAGAAAGCCACGGCUAACUACGUGCCAGCAGCCGCGGUAAUACGUAGGUGGCAAGCGUUGUCCGGAAUUAUUGGGCGUAAAGGGCGCGCAGGCGGUUCGGUAAGUCUGUCUUAAAAGUGCGGGGCUUAACCCCGUGAGGGGACGGAAACUGUCGAACUUGAGUGUCGGAGAGGAAAGCGGAAUUCCUAGUGUAGCGGUGAAAUGCAUAGAUAUUAGGAGGAACACCGGUGGCGAAAGCGGCUUUCUGGACGACAACUGACGC